rnacentral:rRNA from 1 species
UACGGAGGGUGCAAGCGUUGUUCGGAAUCCUUGGGCGUAAAGCGCGUGAAGGCGGCCUGGUAAGUCGGGUGUGAAAUCCCGGGGCUCAAACCCGGAACUGCAUUCGAAACUGACUCGCUAGAGUCCCGGAGAGGAAGGUGGAAUUCCCGGUGGAGAGGUGAAAUUCGUAGAUAUCGGGAGGAACACCAGCGGCGAAGGCGGCCUUCUGGACGGUGACUGACGCUGAGGCGCGAAAGCGUGGUGAGCAAACAGG